UUGGCACUCUGCCAUAUAUUCCAAGAAUAAAUGGGCCAUGACAGUGCUGACUUCACCAUUCUUCUGAGAAGCAAUACACCAACUAAGAUAUUAGCUGGGACAACAAGAAUUGGAAAAGAGUGGUAAGACAGGCGACCAGCGUCUCACAGCCUCUUGAACAAUGAUACUGCGCUCAGGAUUCCAAGUGCCUUAUGAGAAGAGCCGGAAAAGACCUAGGAAAAACAAAGAAAAAAUAAAAGCUAAAACUAAAUUCUUCCAACAAAAGCGGAGUGAAACAUGUCCAUAUCGGAAUAAAUCACCAGCAUAUAAACUUCGUGAAAGAAAGAAAUGUUACAUACAGACAGAGGAUUCAAAAACCGUGCAUUUUGACCUAGAUGAGCAUGGCCAUCGUGAAAUAUCAGUCAAGGAUACAGCAUCUGAUGAAGAUAUCGCAUGGUUAGACAUAUUUACAAGCAGCGAACAAGAUAUGGUACAUGAAAAUGGAACUAAAAAGGGUUGUAAUGAUUUGGUGACCAUGACUCAGAGAUCAAAAUGUAAUCAUUUUCUCCUACUGAGCGAGAGCAAGAAACAACUAGAUCUGAAGGUCUUGAAUUCACAACCCAUAGGACUCAGCAUGGCAGCGUGCAACAAUGAGGAGGAGCCAGAUGCCCAACAGCAUUAAUGGUGGAAUAGGCCUGUUGUAUACAGACUGCACCCAAGAAGGUACAUUCCUUGAGGCAGGUGGUAGGUUGGAUAGUGCCUACCCUCUCCAGGAACUCUGGUCUGAAAUUAGCAACUGGAAGCAAAAGAAGAAGAGAUGGCAAAAAAAGGCUAACAGAAGUGAGUCAAGAAAACCAGCUUUUCAUCAUGCAUAUGAACCCAGGAAAUUCAGUUAAAUUCCAGUGUUAUCAGGAUAAAAAUUACUUUCUUCAUGUAAAUAAGGACUCAAUUGAUGUUUGCAAGUUUGAAGAGACAGAAGCAGAUGCGGGGAAAGACUUUCAUUUCAAGGUUGAAUAUGUGGAGAAUGAGAUACAAAAUAGGAAUAAACUAUGUUAAGACCAUGUAGGAUUUAUAUCCUUAGCUUGUAUAACUUUUUCUACAUUCUUGUUUUAUUCAAGCUUGAUUUUGGUAUUAAAUAAGUACAGUGCCUCAUUUGAGUACUGACUGGAGGGGUGGUUAGCUGUGUAGAUAAACAAUUGCUUGGUAUAUUGUUGCCUGGGGACUGUAUUUUAAAGGAGCUGGGCUGGAAAGGGAAGAAUACAAGAUCAAACAUCUGAAAAAUGUGAGGAGGAAGAGAGAAAAAUUUAUAUGUAAAGGUUAAUUAGAAUUCAUUUCAUAUUUUGUAAUAUGGAACUCUUACACAAACUAAUUUAACCCAAAGAAAAAAUAUUUGCUAGCAUGUACACCUUAUACCCACAAUAACCAACAUUAGGGAGGGUUUACGCAAGCAUUUGGAGCUCUGAAAGGAACAAAGGAAGAGGACUGUUAGAUCAAGGCUAUGCAGCAGACCUAGUCCAUCUCCUUUACUCCCAAAUUAAUAUAUUUCCUUUUGUAUGCAACUUCAGUGCCCUUUUAUCUUUGCAGCCCUGCCUAAAAUCCAGAUAUAUUCCUUGAGAAUCAUACUGUAUUUGCUAGGGGAGACAGAGAUGUCAGACUGAUAGAGUGUCACAAGAGGACAUGUUCUCUCUGAACACUGGCCUAGACUGCUCUCAUCUCUGGAUCUUGCAGGGAAGCACAAAAGAGGAGGAAACUUUUGGUUCAGCUAUGAGGAGAAACACAAAACAGUAACCUAACAAAAACAAAAUAUUCAAAAUGACUAAAUAUAAUAAACUCAAGCUGCUUAUGGUAGGCUGGCAGCAGGUGUAAUGGGAAGUAUGGCCCCUCUGCAACAGCAUCUGUGAGCACAAUGAUGUUAAGUCUCUGCUCUUCACAUGGCUCAUGAUGUUCCAAGCAGGCAAAGGAACAAACCAAAAAUAUAAACUGCUGCAUCUGUGUAUGGUGGGUGUGAUUCUGGCAUUGCCCUGCACUUACUCAUUUACCUUGCCGUAAAGUGUGUGUAAAACAAUUAUUUUAUUUAGCAGCAUUUAAAAUUAUUUUUCCCUGUUGUAAAUGAUUUCACAAGAAUACAGAGCGCCAGUGAAUUUAGGCUUUACAUAUAUAAUACCAGGCACCUUGUCUGCAGGUCUGUGCCUGGAACAGUCCACAGGCUCCACAACACUUGUCAUUCUCUAAUGCAGACAAGACAUCAAAGUUGUGUGAUUCCUCAGCAUCAGAAAUGGAAUUUGGUUUUCCUCCAUGACCAAGUAGAGCACAACUGCUAAGCUAGUCCCUGUUGUAUUUUUCAAAUAGUGUGAAUAACUAACUGACACAUGAGUAGCUACUAUAUUGCCUGGUAGUGAAUUAAACUAAAUGAUGGCUUAAUAAUGUUUCAUGAUUAUGCAUUUAUUUUGAGGGAAUAGGAAAGAGAAUAAAUAAAGGCUCUAAUUCAGUUUGAAUAUGGGAGUAUUGCUUUCAAACAGAUACUUUACAUUGUCCGUCAUUUUAGAGUCUGUUCUGCCACUGAUUAAUACUAGCAGUAUGAUGCUCAGUUGUAUACAGAAUGCUCCCUCCAGUGGUUAAAUGGGUGAACAUCCUACACGGUCCACUAAAGUCCAUUAAAAGAGCCUCCUUAAAAUCUGGUCCUCAGUGGGAUUUGGUUCUGGGCCAUAGUUAAAGCUUGGAGCAUAAUGUCAUAUGUAAAGACUGUAGGUAGCUUGAAAUUGUAUUGUUUGCAUGAAGAGCCUUACAUUCUGUAGUCUUAAAAUAUCUAACAGUCGAGUCUUUUUAAAUAUAUCACUGCAUGUUAAAGGAUUUAAAUAUGGAAACCAGCAUUGGUAGUUUGUGUUAAGUUUUAGAUAUUGAAUUUAGAUAUAAUAGUUUCAUUUAUUAAUCUUCCAGAAAACAAAGGGUAACUUGCCAAGUCCAUUAAGACUGACUUUGAAAUACAAGUUCAUGGAAAGCAAGUGAAUAACAUUCUGAUCUAAUCUAUUCAUGUAGAACUAUAAUGCAAUGUUUUCAAAACCACUCAGUAAUUCUGCAUGUACAACCACAGAGACAAAAGGUUUGAUAUUCAGACAGGUUGAAGAAAAGCAAAUGAAAAACUGACUGUAUGGUCUCAAGUUAGUAGACACUUUUGAUAAUAUGGAAACUUAAAAUGCAUUUUAGAAGUGUAGUGCAUGCCACCAAAAGUGUAAUAUGAAUUUUUGUGACUAUUAUAGAUCUUUUUUGAAAAUAAGACUAUAUUACAAUAUUUACUUUGCAUGCUGUCAUUGUAAACAUCUAAUAUAAAGAUUUUAAUCUAAUUCAAAUAAACAUAUAUUUUUACUACAUUGUGAAUCUUAUAAGA